rnacentral:rRNA from 1 species
UACGAAGGGGGCUAGCGUUGCUCGGAAUCACUGGGCGUAAAGCGCACGUAGGCGGAUUGCUAAGUCAGGGGUGAAAUCCUGGAGCUCAACUCCAGAACUGCCUUUGAUACUGGCGACCUUGAGUCCGGGAGAGGUGAGUGGAACUGCGAGUGUAGAGGUGAAAUUCGUAGAUAUUGGGAGGAACACCAGUGGCGAAGGCGGCUCACUGGACCGGUACUGACGCUGAGGCGCGAAAGCGUGGGGAGCAAACAGG